GAUGAACGCUGGCGGCGUGCCUAAUACAUGCAAGUCGAGCGAACAGACGAGGAGCUUGCUCCUCUGACGUUAGCGGCGGACGGGUGAGUAACACGUGGAUAACCUACCUAUAAGACUGGGAUAACUUCGGGAAACCGGAGCUAAUACCGGAUAAUAUAUUGAACCGCAUGGUUCAAUAGUGAAAGACGGUUUUGCUGUCACUUAUAGAUGGAUCCGCGCCGCAUUAGCUAGUUGAUAAGGUAACGGCUUACCAAGGCAACGAUGCGUAGCCGACCUGAGAGGGUGAUCGGCCACACUGGAACUGAGACACGGUCCAGACUCCUACGGGAGGCAGCAGUAGGGAGUCUUCCGCAAUGGGCGAAAGCCUGACGGAGCAACGCCGCGUGAGUGAUGAAGGUCUUCGGAUCGUAAAACUCUGUUAUUAGGGAAGAACAAAUGUGUAAGUAACUAUGCACGUCUUGACGGUACCUAAUCAGAAAGCCACGGCUAACUACGUG
rnacentral:rRNA from 1 species